rnacentral:rRNA from 1 species
GCUGCCCGCGACAUUGCGAGAAGUCCACUGAACCUUAUCAUUUAGAGGAAGGAGAAGUCGUAACAAGGUUUCCGUAGGUGAACCUGCGGAAGGAUCAUUGUCGAAACCUGCACAAGCAGAACGACCCGCGAACCCGUUAUUACACAACGCCGCGAACGUUUGGUUCCAAACGGUCCGGUUACUAAACAAAAACUUUGGGCGCGGUAUGGCCAAGGAAUAUCGAAACGAACAUUACCGUUCACUCGUGGACGCGUGCGUUCUAUAUGUCAUAACGACUCUCGGCAACGGAUAUCUCGGCUCUCGCAUCGAUGAAGAACGUAGCGAAAUGCGAUACGUGGUGUGAAUUGCAGAAUUCCGUGAACCAUCGAGUUUUUGAACGCAAGUUGCGCCCGAAGCCAUUCGGCCGAGGGCACGUCUGCCUGGGUGUCACGCACCGUUGCCCCCUACUCAAAACUCGUUUCUCCUCUCACGAGGGGGACUUGUUUGACGGUGGGCGGAUAUUGGCUUCCCGUUGGCGAUGUCUCGCGGUUGGCCUAAAAUCAAUUCCUUAGCCGCGAUCGCCGUGGCAUUUGGUGGUUUUCGAUAAACUCGUUGCCCAGCCACGUGCGACCGUUCGGAAAAUGAAUUACGAAACCCCAACGCGUCUGCGUACUACGGAGACGCUUCCAACGCGACCCCRGGUCAGGCGGGGUUACCCGCUGAAUUUAAGCAUAUCAAUAAGCGGAGAAAARAAACUU